rnacentral:rRNA from 1 species
UAGCCAGCACCCCGAGUGGUCGGGACGUUUAUUAGGGCCUAAAGCAUCCGUAGCCGGUUCUACAAGUCGUUCCGUUAAACUCCACCUGCUUAACGAGAUGGGCGUGCGGAAGAUACUAUGGAGCUAGGAGGCGGGAGAGGCAAGCGGUUCACUCGGAUGGGAUAGGGGUAAAAUCCGUUGAUCCAUUGAAGACCACCAGUGGCGAAGGCGGCUUGCCAGAACGCGCUCGACGGUGAGGGAUAAAAGCUGGGGGAGCAAACCGG